UCCACGGGACCCACAUGCAAAUCACCUGAGGUGCUCCCAGAAAAGACCCGCAUCACAGGCCGAGGCCAGUGUGUUGGGUCUCCAUCCAGAAGACAGAAAUGCAGAUGCUGUGGUCCCUCCUCUGCCUGCUGGCAGCUCCCCUGGGUGUCCUAUCUCAACUUACACUUCGGGAGUCCGGCCCAGGACUGGUGAAGCCUUCACAAUCCCUCUCUCUCACCUGCGUUGUCUCCGGAGGCUCCGUUACCAGCAGCUACUACUGGAACUGGAUCCGCCAGCGCCCUGGGAGAGGGUUGGAGUGGCUCGGGUACUGGUCAGGUAGCACCAGCUACAACCCGGCUUUCCAGGGCCGCAUCUCCAUCACUGCUGACACAGCCCAGAGCCAGUUCUCCCUGCAGCUGAGCUCCAUGACCACCGAGGACACGGCCGUGUAUUACUGUGCAAGAAGCACAGUGAGGGAAAGUCAGUGUGAGCUCAGUCACAAACCUUGGUGCAGGGACCUGGAGGGGCUGGGCUGCAGGGGCGCUCAGGAUCCACAAGAGGGCGCACAGGACCUACCAGGGGAACUAGGGCCAUCAGGGGGUGCUUAGGGCCCCUUACCACAGGG